rnacentral:rRNA from 1 species
CCUACGGGGGGCUGCAGUGGGGAAUAUUGGACAAUGGGGGGAACCCUGAUCCAGCCAUGCCGCGUGUGUGAAGAAGGCCCUCGGGUUGUAAAGCACUUUCAGUGAGGAAGAACGCCUGGUGGUUAAUACCCAUCAGGAAAGACAUCACUCACAGAAGAAGCACCGGCUAACUCCGUGCCAGCAGCCGCGGUAAUACGGAGGGUGCGAGCGUUAAUCGGAAUUACUGGGCGUAAAGCGCGCGUAGGUGGCUUGAUAAGCCGGUUGUGAAAGCCCCGGGCUCAACCUGGGAACGGCAUCCGGAACUGUCAAGCUAGAGUGCAGGAGAGGAAGGUAGAAUUCCCGGUGUAGCGGUGAAAUGCGUAGAGAUCGGGAGGAAUACCAGUGGCGAAGGCGGUCUUCUGGACUGACACUGACACUGAGGUGCGAAAGCGUGGGUAGCAAACAGGAUUAGAUACCCUGGUAGUC